AUGGUGGAAAGUAUAGAUAUAUAUUUAUGCGCAAAUAAGUAUACCAACAUAUUAUAUAUAUCAGCGUGUUUGAUAUUAUGGUUUUGCAAAAAAAAAACUAAAAGCAAUUUUGAAUAACAAGUAAGUGAAAUAAUUCGGAGUAAUGACGGAAGAAAUAAAAUUUUUUUUGGCGGAUUGUAAUGAAAUUUCAAAUAAUUUUUUAUGCAGUAACUAUUUUUAUAGUUUCAUCAGACAGAGAUAAAUCGAAUAUCGAAACUGUUGUGUGUCUCUGAACCUCGAUAUAUUUAUUUAACGUCACCGUAAUUGCGAGUCGAUUAUUUUGAAAUGAAGUUUUUAAAUCUUCAAGUUUUUUGGAGAUGAUUUUGAUUUUGAUUCGCUGGAAUUAAUUUAGUUUCCGUUACAAUGAAGAGUAAAAAAAUAUUUGGAAAAAUGUCUUUGCUGUCACGCUACUCACUUUUGAUCUCAGGCGCUUUGGUUUUUCUCCCGGUUGUUAAAAUCACGCAUUUAAAAGAUUUUUAUGAUGAAAUGAUGCACAAGUAUUAUUAUAAAAAAAUGUAUAAGAGUCAGGACAAGUACAAAUGUGGCGCGCAUUUAUACCCAGACAAUUAUGAUAUUUACAAGAGUGUUUUUUUUGAAAUGAAGAAAAAAGACUGAGCUUAUAUUUAAUAAAAGAGACGCUAAUUCUGAAUGUAAAUUUGUAAAAAAAUUAUUUUAUUCAUAAACUAAUAUAUAUUAACUUAUAAAUAAAGUUUUAUAUUUAUUCUA